GACGAACGCUGGCGGCGUGCUUAACACAUGCAAGUCGAACGGAAAGGCCCUGCUUUUGUGGGGUGCUCGAGUGGCGAACGGGUGAGUAACACGUGAGUAACCUGCCCUUGACUUUGGGAUAACUUCAGGAAACUGGGGCUAAUACCGGAUAGGAGCUCCUGCUGCAUGGUGGGGGUUGGAAAGUUUCGGCGGGUGGGGAUGGACUCGCGGCUUAUCAGCUUGUUGGUGGGGUAGUGGCUUACCAAGGCUUUGACGGGUAGCCGGCCUGGGAGGGUGACCGGCCACAUUGGGACUGAGAUACGGCCCAGACUCCUACGGGAGGCAGCAGUGGGGAAUAUUGCACAAUGGGCGGAAGCCUGAUGCAGCGACGCCGCGUGCGGGAUGACGGCCUUCGGGUUGUAAACCGCUUUCGCCUGUGACGAAGCGUGAGUGACGGUAAUGGGUAAAGAAGCACCGGCUAACUACGUG
rnacentral:rRNA from 1 species